AGUGAACGCUGGCGGUAGGCCUAACACAUGCAAGUCGAACGGCAGCACAGUAAGAGCUUGCUCUUACGGGUGGCGAGUGGCGGACGGGUGAGGAAUACAUCGGAAUCUACUUUUUCGUGGGGGAUAACGUAGGGAAACUUACGCUAAUACCGCAUACGACCUACGGGUGAAAGCAGGGGAUCUUCGGACCUUGCGCGAUUGAAUGAGCCGAUGUCGGAUUAGCUAGUUGGCGGGGUAAAGGCCCACCAAGGCGACGAUCCGUAGCUGGUCUGAGAGGAUGAUCAGCCACACUGGAACUGAGACACGGUCCAGACUCCUACGGGAGGCAGCAGUGGGGAAUAUUGGACAAGAGGCGCAAGCCUGAGCCAGCCAUACCGCGUGGGUGAAGAAGGCCGUCGGGUUGUAAAGACCUUUUGUUGGGAAAGAAAAGCAGCAGGUUAAUACCCCGCUGUUCUGACGGUACCCAAAGAAUAAGCACCGGCUAACUUCGUGC
rnacentral:rRNA from 1 species